rnacentral:rRNA from 2 species
UACGGAGGGGGCUAGCGUUGUUCGGAAUUACUGGGCGUAAAGCGCACGUAGGCGGUUAUUCAAGUCAGAGGUGAAAGCCCAGUGCUCAACACUGGAACUGCCUUUGAAACUAGAUAGCUUGAAUCCAGGAGAGGUGAGUGGAAUUCCGAGUGUAGAGGUGAAAUUCGUAGAUAUUCGGAAGAACACCAGUGGCGAAGGCGGCUCACUGGACUGGUAUUGACGCUGAGGUGCGAAAGCGUGGGGAGCAAACAGG